UGGGGAAUAUUGCGCAAUGGGGGAAACCCUGACGCAGCAACGCCGCGUGCGGGAUGAAGGCUUUCGGGUUGUAAACCGCUUUCAGCAGGGAAGAUAAUGACGGUACCUGCAGAAGAAGCCCCGGCUAACUACGUGCCAGCAGCCGCGGUAAUACGUAGGGGGCAAGCGUUAUCCGGAUUCAUUGGGCGUAAAGCGCGCGCAGGCGGGUCGCUAAGCGGGACCUCUAAUCUUGGGGCUCAACCUCAAGCCGGGUCCCGAACUGACGGCCUCGAGUGCGGUAGGGGUAAGCGGAAUUCCCGGUGUAGCGGUGGAAUGCGCAGAUAUCGGGAAGAACACCGAUGGCGAAGGCAGCUUACUGGGCCGACACUGACGCUGAGGCGCGAAAGCUAGGGGAGCGAACAGG
rnacentral:rRNA from 1 species